GGACUCAAGACUGAUAACACAUUUAAUCCCACUCUCAGGCUCAGCCGGUUCAUCUCCUACACUGAGCUUCACAUCAGCCAGAAACUUUUCCCAGAAGCUGCAAAAACAGAAAAGAUAAGGUAUAAUCUUGACCUAGGGAUACAAACUGUCUGCCAUCAAGAAAUCCAUCUGGGGCCCUGGUGUUUUGAAAAUAAGUGCCUGCAGCACUCUCUUUUAGCUAGGAUGUAUUGGGAACAUGGUCCUGAAGGAGGCAAAGACCCAAUAUAUAGAAGGCCUUAUAGCAGGGAUCCUCAAAUGGCCCGCCAAAGAAAUUAAUCCUACCUGGCCAACACCAUGAGGCUGCCCUACCCACAUCACCCGCCAGCCUCUGCCCUUUGGCCAAGCACAGGCCUUACUUUUUUUUUUUUUAUAAACACUUUAUUAAACUAUUACAUUAAAAACAUAAAAAAUUAUUUCACUCAA